CUCCUCCUCCUCCUCCUCCUCCUCCUCCACCCUCCUCCUCUUUCGGCCUCUGUCCCCGUCUCCCUCUCUCUCCCUCUCUUUCUCACUCUGCAGCAUAUAUCCAGCACAGGCAGAGAAACGUCUAGGACGACGAGGAUGAUGUCGGAGUCGACGACGGAUCGUUGCACGCGUGUUGGUGCUUACUUUGAACGGUGUGGAGGCGUCCACGCGUGUUUGCGUGCGUCUGUGUUCUUUACUCUCUGCCCGCCUGGACUCUCUCUUCCUUCUUCUGCUACACGCACACGCAGCCAGCCGAACCGAACCUCCCUGCACACGUGUUCACGACGCAGCAGUCUCUCUGCCGGUCGAGGGGCGGAUUCGCUGGGGUGGGAGGAGAAUUUACGGAGGCCUUUUCGAGGUCCUUGCCGAGGGAACCUUUCCUCGGAAGGAUCUGGAACAUUGGGUCCCCUCUGGUAGACCUGUAUUUUCGAACGAGCUUUACGGAAUCGUUGGAUAGAGAGAAUGUUUCCGAGGGGAUGACGGAAGUCGAUCGCCAAAUGCUCCGUAUAUCCUUGGUAGAAACAAGGGUACGGUUAUGCCGUUGUUUUUCGUUCGGGCCGAGAACGAAGUUUUUGGCCGUUUCUCGUUCAAUUCUCCUCCUCUCUUCCUCCUCCUCUUCCCCUCUUUUUUAGUCGGAGAAAAGAUCGCGCGAUUUAGAAAAAGAAAAAAAAGAAACGCGAUGUCGAUCGUAGAUUAUUGGAUACUGGAAAUGGGAGGUGGAAAAAAUUAGAAGGUCAAAGGUGGAAGAUCGAAGCAAGCUUGAAACAUAUAUCGAUAUAAUUGAAUUUUGCAGAGCUUUCUAUUUAUAGAACAAUUCAAUAUACGAGUAUUCUAUUGAUCUUUAAAAAUUAAUUCAGUUUGAAUUCAUAUUUAUGAACAUCGUAGUAUAGAAUUAUUUUCUUUCUUCGAAUAAAGAGUUCAUUACAUUUUUUAUAAUAAUAUUACAGAAAUUAUAGCAAGAAAUAGUAAUUUAAAACAAUUGUACAAAAAAAUUUUCUAUUAAUUUGAAAUGCUAAUUUUAUUAAUUUAUCGUUAAAAAAAGUUUAAUCUUAAGAUUAGGAAACAAAGGAAUCGGAUAAUUGGAAGAAGUAGCAUAUCAUUCGCCGAUUUCUUAAUUUAUAUCAUACCAAUUCCACGUAUAUCGAGAAAUGAAGAAUUGCAGAUAUCUCUAUUAUCGAUAAGAAUGAGAACAGAGAUAUUUCUACAUCGAUAAUAUUGCUUCUUUACAAAAUUAGGUUCUUCGAUGUCAGAUGUCACUAGCUUCAAUAGCGGAUGAUUCGUACAACUUUACCAUACAAGUUCGGAUCAAUUUUGAGAAUAAGAAAAAUUGUUGACGAGUGUAGUUUUCCGAAAUAAAUUCCGAAUUAUUUUUAAUUAUGAAUCAGAAUUGCUACUACAGAUGAUCAAUAUAUUUAGAAAUAUAUAUUUAUUUUUCCAAUUUCGUUGGAGUAAUAAAAUAAAUAUUUUAUCUUUA